GAGAUCAAAUGGGGGAAAAAGAGAAAAAUAGAAGUUUGUUUUCAUUGAAAAAGGAAGAUACGAAGGUUGGUCAAAAUUACUUUCUAUACCUCUAAUAAUAAGUGUACGGCCCUGAUUUGGAUGAAUUGUUGGGAUUCCUGUGGUAAUGGUUUAGAGUGGAGCUGGUGAGAAUGUUGUUAGCAACAAAAAAUAUGGCGGACGAAGGGAUUGUUACGUUCUCAGGGAGUUCCGCGGAAGAUAUCGAGAAUGCAAAGGCUUUCUGGCGAGCACGGGACCCUGAAUUAAAGCCAAAGUCAGCCUUGUUUGUGACGGGUCUCGAUCAUCGACUGAAAACGGCUCCUGCCCCGAAAACCGGUGAGAAAUCAAAGAAGAAUUAUGCACAUCUAACCCGCGACCAAUUACAAGAGCCAGAAAUCAACCCUGGUUUGAAAAGAUUCCAAGAAGAUGCAGAGAAACAGGGGAUGACAGAAGAAUUUGAAUACACCAGUAGAGUGAAUUAUUUUAGAAAUGAAUCAAAACAGCGACUGGAACAGAGAAGAAAGGAAAGGAUCAAGAAGGAAGAAGUAUCAAGCAAAGUGAUCCAAAGAGCCCAAGAACCAUUGAUAGAGAUAUCGUAAGUGUACGAGUUUGUAACCUUGUGUGACCACCAAACAAUUGAAAAAAGACCAAAAGAAUGAACAAACCAAUGUUUCAACAGAAACACACACCUGCGGGGCAUUGUGGGAAGGGCACACAGGAAACUUGGCAGCUAAACAACAACGUUUACCAGACCAACAUGGUUACCAGCCUGAAUUUCUUAUAAUUAUCAACAAUUUACAUGUUGUUAUUAUUGUUACCAUCAUAACAUGAAAUUUAUCAUCACUGUUUAUUAAAUCAUAACCAUUGUCAUGAUUCACAUCCCCACUACCUUAUUAAUGUUGAUGAUCAUUGUCAGCAUUAUUCUUGUCAUCAUUAUUUUUGAAUUU